rnacentral:rRNA from 1 species
GAUGAACGCUGGCGGCGUGCCUAACACAUGCAAGUCGAGCGGAGAAUUGUUGCUUGCACCACUUCUUAGCGGCGGACGGGUGAGUAACACGUGGGUAACCUGCCCUAAACAAAGGGAUAACAAUGAGAAAUCAUUGCUAAUACCGUAUAAGCUUACACUAUCGCAUGAUAGAGUAAGAAAAGAUUUAUCGGUUUAGGAGGGGCCCGCGUCUGAUUAGCUAGUUGGAGAGGUAACGGCUCACCAAGGCGACGAUCAGUAGCCGACCUGAGAGGGUGAUCGGCCACAUUGGGACUGAGACACGGCCCAAACUCCUACGGGAGGCAGCAGGGGGGAAUAGUGCACAAUGGAGGAAACUCUGAUGCAGCAACGCCGCGUGAAGGAAGAAGGUUUUCGGAUCGUAAACUUCUAUCUACAGGGAAGAAAAAAAUGACGGUACCUGAGUAAGAAGCCCCGGCUAACUACGUG